UACAGAGACCUCAAGCGUUAUCCGGAAUCAUUGGGCGUAAAGCGUACCGAUCGGUGGUCAUGUAAGCCAGAUGUGAAAUCUCCAAGCUCAACUUGGAAUCUGUCAUUUGGAACUGCACGACUCGAGGGGCAAAGAGGAAGCUGGAACAAACGGUGUAGUAGUGAAAUGCGUUGAUAUCGUUUGGAACACCAAUAGCGAAGGCGGGCUUCUGGGUGCCACCUGACACUGCUAGGACGAAAGCGUGGGGAGCGAAUGGG
rnacentral:rRNA from 1 species